CACGUAGGGCGCAAGCGUUGUCCGGAAUUAUUGGGCGUAAAGAGCUCGUAGGUGGUUUGUUACGUCUGCUGUGAAAACCUAGGGCUUAACCCUGGGCUUGCAGUGGAUACGGGCAGACUAGAGGUAGGUAGGGGAGAAUGGAAUUCCUGGUGUAGCGGUGAAAUGCGCAGAUGUCAGGAGGAACACCGGUGGCGAAGGCGGUUCUCUGGGCCUUACCUGACACUGAGGAGCGAAAGCGUGGGGAGCGAACAGG
rnacentral:rRNA from 1 species